rnacentral:rRNA from 1 species
UACGUAGGUGACAAGCGUUGUCCGGAUUUACUGGGCGUAAAGAGCGCGCAGGCGGUCGUUCAAGUCGCGUGUGAAAGCCCCCGGCUCAACUGGGGAGGGUCACGCGAUACUGAUCGACUCGAAGGCAGGAGAGGGUAGUGGAAUUCCCGGUGUAGUGGUGAAAUGCGUAGAGUAUCGGGAGGAACACCAGUGGCGAAGGCGACUACCUGGCCUGUUCUUGACGCUGAGGCGCGAAAGCUA